GCAAGUCGAGGGGCAGCAUGGUCUUAGCUUGCUAAGGCCGAUGGCGACCGGCGCACGGGUGAGUAACACGUAUCCAACCUGCCGUCUACUCUUGGACAGCCUUCUGAAAGGAAGAUUAAUACAAGAUGGCAUCAUGAGUCCGCAUGUUCACAUGAUUAAAGGUAUUCCGGUAGACGAUGGGGAUGCGUUCCAUUAGAUAGUAGGCGGGGUAACGGCCCACCUAGUCUUCGAUGGAUAGGGGUUCUGAGAGGAAGGUCCCCCACAUUGGAACUGAGACACGGUCCAAACUCCUACGGGAGGCAGCAGUGAGGAAUAUUGGUCAAUGGGCGAGAGCCUGAACCAGCCAAGUAGCGUGAAGGAUGACUGCCCUAUGGGUUGUAAACUUCUUUUAUAAAGGAAUAAAGUCGGGUAUGGAUACCCGUUUGCAUGUACUUUAUGAAUAAGGAUCGGCUAACUCCGUGCCAGCAGCCGCGGUAAUACGGAGGAUCCGAGCGUUAUCCGGAUUUAUUGGGUUUAAAGGGAGCGUAGAUGGAUGUUUAAGUCAGUUGUGAAAGUUUGCGGCUCAACCGUAAAAUUGCAGUUGAUACUGGAUAUCUUGAGUGCAGUUGAGGCAGGCGGAAUUCGUGGUGUAGCGGUGAAAUGCUUAGAUAUCACGAAGAACUCCGAUUGCGAAAGCAGCCUGCUAAGCUGCAACUGACAUUGAGGCUCGAAAGUGUGGGUAUCAAACAGGAUUAGAUACCCUGGUAGUCCACACGGUAAACGAUGAAUACUCGCUGUUUGCGAUAUACGGCAAGCGGGCCAAGCGAAAGCGUUAAGUAUUCCACCUGGGGGAGUACG
rnacentral:rRNA from 2 species